rnacentral:lncRNA from 1 species
AUCAGAAGCUUUCCCAUAGGAGUGGAAGUUAAUGCGCUCGAUCGGACCUGCUUAUACAAAUACUUACUAGAUCAUACCUGCUCGCUACAUCGUACCUUUGUGUUUGCUAUGACUGAUUCCGGUCAUAACCCUACUUGUUAACUCUACUGAAGCUAUGACUGAUAUGACUGAUAUGACAGAUUGUAGUGGUGGACCUCUGAGUUCAAUUAAUUACCAUUCAAUAGCGGCAGGAGCGGGGCUUACUGGUAGAACAAAGGACU